UGCAAUCUUGCUAUCUAUCCCCGGGCAGUCAGCGCGCACUUCAGCAGACUCCGUGCACGGAGAUCCGGGAUGACCUCGCUGUCCUAGUCUUCAAAGUGGGCACCUUCAUCCCUCUAGUCUUGUCCCAAGAUCAGCCCUGGACAGGCGAUAAACAGCAGUUCUUUCUUUAUAUUUUUUAUUUUUUUUUGAGACAGAGUUUCGCUCUUGUUGCUCAGGCUGGAGUUUAAUGGCGCGAUCUCGGCUCACUGCAACCUCCGCCUCCUGGGUUCAAGCGAUUCUUCUGCCUCAGCCUCCCAAGUGGCUGGGAUUACGGGCGCCCACCACCACGUCUGGCUAAUUUUUUGUAUUUUUAGUAGAGACUGGGUUUUACCAUGUUGUCCAGGCUGGUCGUCACCUCCUGACCUCAGGUGAUCCACCCGCCUCGGCCUCCCAAAGUACUGGGAUUACAG
rnacentral:lncRNA from 1 species